CCAUAAAAAGCUUCUAACUUUAAAAAAAGCAUUAACAUGUUAAUGAUUCUU
rnacentral:tRNA from 1 species